rnacentral:rRNA from 1 species
AUUGAACGCUGGCGGCAGGCCUAACACAUGCAAGUCGAACGAGUGGCGGACGGGUGAGUAAUGUCUGGGAAACUGCCUGAUGGAGGGGGAUAACUACUGGAAACGGUAGCUAAUACCGCAUACCAUCGGAUGUGCCCAGAUGGGAUUAGCUAGUAGGUAAGGUAAUGGCUUACCUAGGCGACGAUCCCUAGCUGGUCUGAGAGGAUGAUCAGCCACACGGGGACUGAGACACGGCCCAGACUCCUACGGGAGGCAGCAGUGGGGAAUAUUGCACAAUGGGCGCAAGCCUGAUGCAGCCAUGCCGCGUGUAUGAAGAAGGCCCUAGGGUUUUAAAGUACUUUCAGUCGGGAGGCGUUACCGACAGAAGAAGCACCGGCUAACUCCGUGCCAGCAGCCGCGGUAAUUC